UACGUAGGGGGCUAGCGUUGUCCGGAAUCAUUGGGCGUAAAGCGCGUGUAGGCGGUCCGGUAAGUCCGCUGUGAAAGUCGGGGGCUCAACCCUCGGAUGCCGGUGGAUACUGUCGGGCUUGAGUACGGAAGAGGCGAGUGGAAUUCCUGGUGUAGCGGUGAAAUGCGCAGAGUAUCAAGGAGGAACACCGAUGGCGAAGGCAGCUCGCUGGGACGGUACUGACGCCUGAGACGCGAAAGCGUGGGAGC
rnacentral:rRNA from 1 species